rnacentral:rRNA from 1 species
UACGAAGGGGGCUAGCGUUGCUCGGAAUCACUGGGCGUAAAGCGCACGUAGGCGGCUUUCUAAGUCAGGGGUGAAAUCCUGGAGCUCAACUCCAGAACUGCCUUUGAUACUGGAGAGCUUGAGUCCGGAAGAGGUGAGUGGAACUCCGAGUGUAGAGGUGAAAUUCGUAGAUAUUCGGAAGAACACCAGUGGCGAAGGCGGCUCACUGGUCCGGUACUGACGCUGAGGUGCGAAAGCGUGGGGGAGCAAACAGG